CCAAUAGCGUAUAUUAAAGUUGUUGCAGUUAAAAAGCUCGUAGUUGAAUUUCGGGAUUAGUACGCUGGUCAUGCCUUUGGUAUGUACUGGUGUUACUGAUUCCUACCUUCUGAAGAACCGUUAUGUCAUUCAUUUGGUGUGGCGGGGAAUCAGGACUGUCACUUUGAAAAAAUUAGAGUGUUUAAAGCAGGCUCGCGCUUGAAUACAUUAGCAUGGAAUAAUGAAAUAGGACGUUGAUCCUAUUUUGUUGGUUUCUAGGAUUGACGUAAUGAUUAAUAGGGAUAGUUGGGGGCAUUAGUAUUCAAUUGGCAGAGGUGAAAUUCUUUGAUUUAGUGAAGACUAACUACUGCGAAAGCAUUUGCCAAGGAAGUUUUCAUUAAUCAAGAACGAAAGUUAGGGGAUCGAAGACGAUCAGAUACCGUCGUAGUCUUAACCAUAAACUAUGCCGACUAGGGAUCGGAUGAUUUUAAUUUUUUAAUGACUCAUUCGGCGCCUUACG
rnacentral:rRNA from 1 species